rnacentral:rRNA from 1 species
CACUCCUACGGGAGGCAGCAGUGGGGAAUAUUGGACAAUGGGCGCAAGCCUGAUCCAGCCAUGCCGCGUGAGUGAUGAAGGCCCUAGGGUUGUAAAGCUCUUUCACCGGUGAAGAUAAUGACGGUAACCGGAGAAGAAGCCCCGGCUAACUUCGUGCCAGCAGCCGCGGUAAUACGAAGGGGGCUAGCGUUGUUCGGAUUUACUGGGCGUAAAGCGCACGUAGGCGGACUAUUAAGUCAGGGGUGAAAUCCCGGGGCUCAACCCCGGAACUGCCUUUGAUACUGGUAGUCUUGAGUUCGAGAGAGGUGAGUGGAAUUCCGGGUGUAGAGGUGAAAUUCGUAGAUAUUCGGAGGAACACCAGUGGCGAAGGCGGCUCACUGGCUCGAUACUGACGCUGAGGUGCGAAAGCGUGGGGAGCAAACAGGAUUAGAUACCCUUGUAGUCCCAU